GUUUUGCUUUCAAGAAUUUGGGGUACAGUUGCCCCAAAACCCCUGCACCGAUCUUCUUGAAACUUGGCAGGCUUUGUGGACUCAGCAAGAGCUACCACCCCUGCAGUUUUCACCAUGCUAUGUUGUAAUGCCUAGAUGUGACAUGAGUUUGGCUUUCAAGAAUUUGGGGUGCUGUUCUCCCCAAACCCUUGCACCAAUUAUCUUGAAACUUGGCAGGCUUCAUCCUCUCUGCAGAGUUUAUCACAUCUAAAAAUGUCAUCCAAAUCGGACAAAAAACAACAAAGUUAUAGAUAUUUUAUUGUUUCCCCAUUGUACCCUACUGCCGGAUCUCCAAGGCGGCUCCGAAGCUCUUCCGAAGCUCUGAACAGCUUCGAGGCCAGCACUUCAGCACGGAUGUGCUGCUUCGGAUCCCGAAGUGUCCGAAGCUUCUCCAGAUCCGAAGCUCUGUCCGAAGCCUUGCACAGCCCUAAAGGUUAGCUUGAAAAGUUCUUCCUCUCUUUUAUUUUUAAUUCCAGUGACUUUGCGUGAAGAGUCCCUUCCCAGGGUGUCACCUUCAAGUGCUCAGGUUCCCCGGCAAUGAGCCACAGAAGGACUGAGGGGUGGGUGGGUGGUGACCGUGUUCCAUAGAAUUUGCCAUGAAAGGGACUUCCCAGGUGAGAUGGAAGUUUCCCAAUCCCUCGAGAGAGCUUCUUGGAACAACUGCAUAAAGCAAUUGCAUCAGAGAGAGCAAAGAAAAAUAGCCACCCUUCUGGACCAGUACACAUGGGAAGCUGACUGGCUGAGCCUGAGCUGCUGACUCAGCUUUGAUUGCACUAACAUACAUGAGCCUGAGCUCUGGAGUCACAUUCCAGAAGUUGUGCAUGCCUCUGACGGAGAUAAAGGUAAUUUUGAAUCAUCCUUCUCCACAUUCAGAUGUAUCUUAAAGGGAAUGGAAAAGGAAGGGCUCUACGACUUGUCCUGCUCUUUCUAUUAAAGAGCAAAUAAGAGGAGGAUUGGGUGUUAUACUGGACCAGGGAAAAGGUUUUAGAGUCAUCAUUCAUUCCUAGCUAACAUAGAGAGGAGAAGCCGCCCCCCUCCCCCAUGGUGUGGGCAUUGGUGCAAGUGGCUGGAAGCCCAGCAUUUGAGAGUUCAAGGCUAUAACAGAGAUCUGACACUACCUUCAGCUCUCCUAUGAAAUAUUAAUUUUCAUUUCCACCUAGGAGAAAUUUUACAAUCUUUGCACUCUCCUAUGCCUGAGGAGAAUGGUGAGUAUGCCUGAAAGCUUGCAAAUAAAGAGGGUUUUUUUUGCAAAUAUCUAGUUGAUUUAAUAAAAGUUAUCACCUCAGGCCAUAACAGAAGUGCUCAUGGUGUGACCACAUCAGAUCGCGAUGAAUCUGUGACUUCUACUAAAUGCCCUGUCAUAUGAACAUGAGAAAGAAAAGGGCUGGGGAAGGAUGUUUGAAAAGGACAGUGGGGUUGCGAUGUGCUUUGCUCUCCAGCUCAAGCAAUCCUGGUGAUAGCCAGAGGAGGGAAUAUCAUCCACCUGCACUUGGUAUUCUAGGGAGGCAUCCUGCCAUCUCGGUGCACAAUGGGAGGUGGGGGUGCAUUCUGGGACCACAAUCUCAUUCUGUAAAUAACAUCCCAGAGAUCCUUGGUGUGGUAUAAAAGUCAGGGACAGGAAAGGAAAGCACAGAGAUAAAGGGCACAGGUUUUUUCCCCCAGCUUUGCUGCUCCCACAACAUAAGUUCCAGGAUAAAUUACUAAACUCUUGUUUUCUACAGUUUCCUCCUUCGCAGAACAGACAUGAUAAAACUCGCCUGUCUCCUGGAGUGUGGUGAGGUGAAAUCACUAAUGCUUUUAACAUGUCAAAACCUAAGAUCUGCAGAUGGAAGGUACCAAAAAAAGUAUACAAUGUCUUUAUUUUGAAUAUUAUUACUAAUUGAGAUAGUAAAUCAGGUUCUUGCCUCUACAAGAGCAGGGGUAUUCUAUACCAUGGAGUCACAGCUGUCAGUGAAUGACACUCUUUUCUUUGUUUGGUUACAGACAGUCACGUUCUCAACCAAACCAAUGAACUGGAAAGCCAGGCUGAGACCACCAGCUCCCUGCAGAUGCUGGGAUCCAAUGGCUGCACAGGAGCUCUCCAACUUUGUUGAUUUCUUUAUUGACAUGGGUGUAUGAGACAGCCUCCAACAUAUCAUGGAAGAUGCAACCCAGAAAAUAAAGGAGGUAAUGUUGGAGGUGAGGGCUGUUGGCCUGAUUUCUGUGAAACUGAGCAUAAUCAUUUUAUCUGGGGGCAUUAUCCUUCCACAUCCAGCUAAGAAGGAGACUGGACAGAAUACCUAAAAACCAGGGUCAUUUGUGUGUGUGAUUUUGAGGCUCAAGACUGUAACUGUGCAUGAAACAAAUCUCACACACAACUCCCACCAUCUCGAAAGGUGAGCCUGGUGGAUGGAGGCAGAAGGAAGUCUUCACCUGUUCUGCUGGACGGAGAAGGAAUGUCUCCAGAGCUUGCACAGCAAUCCCUGUUAUCUCAAAGGGCUAUGGCAUCAGCAAGGUGCCAUGAAGACCUCACCCAUUCUUCCCAAAAUGUGAAGUUGUAUCUGCUUAAAAUAGAACAAAUAGAUUUCUA